rnacentral:lncRNA from 1 species
CUUUGAGGGUCUCAAUUCGACUAAUGGGGUCAUUACUGAACUUUAGAGAAUGAAAAUAGAUAUAAUAACUCUUAAAUUAAUGAAGUGGAUGUAAUAGCCAAUUUUGGCCUAAAGCUCAAAUCAAUAAAACAAAUAAUAAAACAGUCCAAAAUGAAUGUCCAUUUACAUAUUAUACCCAAGCCCAACAAGCCCGAAAGUCUAGAAACCCCAAAGCCCAACUAGCCCAACUACACAAAACAUUUCAGCAAACCUUAACCCCUCCAAGCUUCAGCCGCCGCAUGCCCCCUUCAACCUUGGCCGCCGCACGCCUCCUCGCACACGUCUGGCCGCUCACGUCACCUGCAAAACGAGACUAACAUACAAGCAAAAGAAAACAACGAACAAGAAGACAAAAAACAAUAGCAAACAACAAAGAAAAACAAUGAAGAAACAGACAAAGAAUAGAAACAAAACGAGUGUGUAUUCGGCUAUAAAGGCCAUAUUCGAUCCCUUUGUAAUUUUUUACGUACAUUAAAGAAUCAAAAAAGCAGAAUAGAAGCUUAAAGAAAGGUUGAUUUUGAUUUUCUUUUCUUUUUUUUGUGUUUUCUUGUUUCUUCUUUUUAUUAUUAUUAUUAUUACAAAUCUAUUUUCAAGUAAAAAGAAUAAAUAAAAAAGGAGAAGAGAAAAUUUACCCGAAUCCGAUCUUGGCAUGGCUCCGACCACCGUCUACGGUGGAGCCUCGGAGCCAAGGCGGUUCGGCGAUGGUGCGAUGAUGGGUUUCAAAACCCUAGCAGAGGAGAAAAAAGAAAAAGGAGGUUCAGAUUUUUUUUUAAAAAGGGAC